rnacentral:tRNA from 1 species
CGGAGUGUAGCGCAGUCUGGUAGCGCAUCUGCUUUGGGAGCAGAGGGUCACAGGUUCGAAUCCUGUCACUCCGACCA